CAUUAGCUGGCCAUUUGUUUUGGGUCGUCGGAUAUUGUUGCCUCCAUGCAACUUUUUCAGGCAAUACUUUAUAUGGGCUGUAUGUUUUGGGCCGUAUUUAGUUGAGGCCUUUUUGACACACCCGUGCCGUGAUAGACGGUGACAUGUGCCGUCGAUUGACCUCCACAAUCAGCACCUGAAGAUGCUUUUCCGACCACUCCUAAGGUAAAUUCACUUACAACUCGAUCUUGACCCCUCUUCCUUGAUGAUAAGCCAAGUUGGAUAAUACAAACUCUGCUUGAGAACCUUUUUAGUGUCUUGAAUCUUGAAGGUUUGGGUCACGUUCUGUGGUUUCAUUGCACCCCGGAACAGUCAGUUUUUUUGGCAACCCAAACCACUGGACUAACAGAGAUACUCAGAUUCUGUGAAAAUAAUGGGAAUGCAGCAGAAGAAAUGUGCCUCCACUUUCCAGUUCUAUUUUCCCAAUUUGAACUCUGGUUAUUCAGCUUUUGUUGAUUAUGUUUGAAGGUUUGCAAAAGGAAGGAGUAGUUUGUCACCAGUGAACUUACAUGCCCGGUAAGAUUAUUGUAGUGCUCAGGAUCAGCGAAUCCUCUGUUUUUCUUCCCACUCACAAUCUCCAAAACCAAAACGCCAAAGCUAAAUACAUCUGACUUCAUUGAGAAAAGACCAUCUCGUGCAUACUCCGGGGGCAUGUAACCACUGCACGCAGCAUAUUGUAUAUAAGAAAAAACUAAUGAAUGGAAGAUUAAUAGAAUGACUAGUUAGUUACUUUGGCUUACUAUGUGCCAGCAACUCUUUGGGUAUUUGCUUGGGACUCAUUUCCUCCAAAACUUCUAGCUAAGCCAAAGUCUGAUAUCUUAGGGUUCAUGUCUCGAUCUAGUAAAAUGUUGCCGGCUUUAAGAUCUCUGUGUAUAAUUCUAAGCCGUGAAUCGUGAUGAAGAUAUAGAAGUCCUCGAGCAAUUCCUUUGAUGAUGUUGAAGCGUUUCGUCCAAUCAAGCCAAGGAGCUUUACAAGAUUUCGGUGUUGAAGUUUUGAAAUGCAAAUGACUUCAUUCUUGAACUCAUUAACUCCUUGGUUGGAAGUCUUUGAGAGGCGCUUAACUGCAAUUUCUUGCCCUUCCUCUAGCACACCCUGAAUAUCAACAUUUGCAAUCUGAGUAAUUUCACAAACUUCAGAGACUGGUCCAAAUCCACCCUCUCCGAGUUUAUUAUCAUCUGAAAAACUGGCAGUGGCUGCUGCUAUCGUAGAGAAGCUAAAGAAUGGCACAUGAAUGUCUUCUUCCUGGCCUUUUCCUAGUGGUCCCACAUAAUUCCUUUUUUUCCGUGCGUACCACAACCACGUAGAAAUGACCCCUAUGAGGAAAACCCCCGGGAAGAUUACAAGUAAUAUGAUUUUAAUGUUUGGUGACUUUGGUCCUUUCCUUUUGAAAGCCGGUUGAGCAGCUGUAUAAUAUGAUAUUAACA